GUCCCCAUCGUCUAAAGGUUAGGACAUCGCCCUUUCAAGGCGGCAAUGCGAGUUCGAUUCUCGCUGGGGGCA
rnacentral:tRNA from 1 species